rnacentral:rRNA from 1 species
GUGGGGAAUAUUGGACAAUGGGGGGAACCCUGAUCCAGCCAUGCCGCGUGUGUGAAGAAGGCCUUUUGGUUGUAAAGCACUUUAAGCGAGGAGGAGGCUACCGAGAUUAAUACUCUUGGAUAGUGGACGUUACUCGCAGAAUAAGCACCGGCUAACUCUGUGCCAGCAGCCGCGGUAAUACGUAGGGUGCGAGCGUUAAUCGGAUUUACUGGGCGUAAAGCGUGCGUAGGCGGCUUUUUAAGUCGGAUGUGAAAUCCCCGAGCUUAACUUGGGAAUUGCAUUCGAUACUGGGAAGCUAGAGUAUGGGAGAGGAUGGUAGAAUUCCAGGUGUAGCGGUGAAAUGCGUAGAGAUCUGGAGGAAUACCGAUGGCGAAGGCAGCCAUCUGGCCUAAUACUGACGCUGAGGUACGAAAGCAUGGGGAGCAAACAGGAUUAGAUACCCGUGUAGUCC